GACGAACGCUGGCGGCGUGCCUAAUACAUGCAAGUGGAACGCUAAGGCGGGGGUUUCUUUCUCGGGUGGAGUGGCAAACGGGUGAGUAACCCGUAGGUAACCUGCCGGUUACGGGGGGAUAACUUUGGGAAACGAUGGCUAAUACCGCAUAGGAGAGAUUGUUGAAUGGAUUUGGUUAAAAAGUUGCAUUGCAUUCAUAACCACUCGACCCGCGUUGUAUUAGCUAGUUGGUGGGGGAACGGCUCAACAAGGCGGCGAUACAUAGCCGACCUGAGAGGGUGAUCGGCCACACUGGGACUGAGACACGGCCCAGACUCCUUCGGGAGGCAGCAGUAGGGAAUCUUCGGCAAUGGACGGAAGUCUGACCGAGCAACGCCGCGUGAGUGAAGAAGGUUGUCGGAUCGUAAAGCUCGGUUGUAAGAGAAGAACGAGUGUGAGAGUGGAAAGUUCACACUGUGACGGUAUCUUACCAGAAAGGGACGGCUAACUACGUG
rnacentral:rRNA from 1 species